rnacentral:tRNA from 1 species
GCGCCGGUGGUGUAAGGCGAAAAUCGCUGCCAGGAAGCAGAAGAUGCGGGUUCGAGUCCCGCCUGGCGCA